AUGUUCUCUUGAUGUUUGAUAAGGGGUCUGGCCUGCUCACUGAACUAUAUAUUAAAGAGCUGCAGUAUUUUGACUGUGCAAAGGUAGCACAAUCAUUAGUCCUUUAAUUGUGGACUGGUAUGAAAGGUUAGACAGAUAAAUUUUGUGUCAAAUUUAUAAAUUGAAUUUAUCUUUUGUAUGAAAAGAUACAAAUAUAUUUAAAAGACAAGAAGACCCUUUUAAAGUUAAUAUAUUUUAUUUAAUUUGCUUAUAAUAAAUUAGUUUAAUUAGAUGAAUGUAUUUUGCUGGGGCGGCAAAUAUAAUUUAUCUUUAUUUAUUAUACAUGUUUUAAUUAGCUUAUUUUGUGAGCCUAAUAUUUGGCUGGAAAAAUAAGUUACUAAAGGGAUAACAGCGUAAUAUAUUUUAAGAGUUCUUAUUGACAUUUAUGUUUGCGA
rnacentral:rRNA from 1 species